UACGUAGGGGGCUAGCGUUGCUCGGAAUCACUGGGCGUAAAGGGUGCGUAGGCGGGUCUUUAAGUCAGGGGUGAAAUCCUGGAGCUCAACUCCAGAACUGCCUUUGAUACUGAGGAUCUUGAGUUCGGGAGAGGUGAGUGGAACUGCGAGUGUAGAGGUGAAAUUCGUAGAUAUUCGCAAGAACACCAGUGGCGAAGGCGGCUCACUGGCCCGGUACUGACGCUGAGAUGCGAAAGCGUGGGGAGCAAACAGG
rnacentral:rRNA from 1 species